rnacentral:lncRNA from 1 species
CAUCAAAUGCCCAGCCUUUUCUUAGAACUCCUUCCCAUCCUCUUUGACAUCCAAGGAACAUGAUCGAAUGUUAUAAUCUGAACUUUCAGUUUUAAUAUUCAAUUUUUUCAUACAGCUGAGCUAUGAUAUUCCAAUAGAGUAAUAGUCUAAUAGACAAUGAAAAGAUUUCGACUUGUGUCAAAAGACAAGACCCAAAACUCUGCAGCUUUCUUGUUUCCAUGCCUUCGUCCUUUCCAAAUCGAACCUUGAUCGAUACAGGGAAGGGAGAGAGGAAGAGGAGAAGAAAGAAGAGAAGAGAGAAGUAUGGAACUCCGCAGAGUGCGGGAUUAGAGAGAGUCAUCAACUUCUCCCUCACUCAAAAGGUUAAGCUUUUACUUGAGCUCAACACCAAUUCAAGGAUUUAAUCAUGGUUUUGUCUCUUAUAUAUAUUCAUCAAACCCACUUGAAAGACGACAUCUUGGACCGAAUUUCAGCCACAAAACAUAUUUCAGCUGCUUCUUCUUGCUCAGCUCGCUGCGGUUCCUCAAAGAGUGUUGUUGUGCUAGUAGGAGGUUGGGUUUGAGGAAAGAGAAUAAAUUGACGAAUAAGAAGAAAAAAAAUAAAGAAGACCACAUAUAAGAAGAUAUAAAGGGCCAAAGUACUAGAUCAUCCUUUGAGGAAUGAAUAAUUACAUGAGCUUGACGGUGUUACUGACACCUAGGCCUCAUCAUGGCCGGGUUAGAGCCGGCCCUACCCUAAAUUUUAAAGCUUAGGGUAGAGUCGAGUAGGGUUUUGACUUGGUCAAUAAAAUUUAAGGCCGGGUAGGGUCGGGCUGAGGCUCAAAUAUGUAAGUUUUUACCCGCCCUUAAAAGCCAUUUGACUACCCGGCCCUUUGAAUAGGGCUAAAUAGGACCGAAAUGGCCGAAUAUGACGUUAUUUUGUUUAAUGAAAUAAAUUCAUGAGUUUUAAUAUUUUUUUUUCUCAAAUAUUACCUCAAGGAUAUAUGUGAUACAAGACCCUAUUUUUAGUCAUUUUUUACAUACAUAUACAUUAUAUUUAACUCAAGACAUCUAGAAUUAUUAAUCUAAGUAGUUAUAUUUAUAUAUUUCAUUAACUAUCUCUCUAAAUCACCAAAAAUCAAUUGUUAUUUAACAAAAAAAAUACAAAUUAAAAAAAUAAAACUUAUAAGAUUAGUUGUAUUGUAUAAAAAAUAAGAAACAUAUUAAAAAUAAUAGAAAAUAAGUAAGUAUUAGGACCUAAAGGGCGAGCUUUUAAGGCCGGACUUAGCCCUAAAGGGCUCAAUAGGGUAGGGCCGGAGGGUAAGGCCGGGUUUCAUUUGGUAGACCCUUGUCCUACCCUAAUUGAAAAGGGCUAGGGCCGGGUAGGGCUUCGGCCCUAUAGGGUAGGGCGGGUUUUAGGGCGGGCUAGGGUCAAAAGGCCAAAUGAUGAGGCCUACUGACACCAUGUAUUAAACUUGGGUCGGAAAUUGAAACUCAUGUAUUGUUUUGAUAUUUCUGAAAGUUGAUGUACCAAAAUUCGGAGUGGCAUGUUUCUCAUAUACUAUUGUUGAAAUUUGCCCUAUAUGUAAAUAUGCAGCCGUAGAAAUUUCCCAACACUAUAGAGAUGCAAUAGUCUACUGUACUGUACAUAGUUCACCACACACGAAACGAACUAAUAACCCAGACUUUCAAUGGAAACAAUGAUCAUGCAGAGACUUGCUAACACACAAAAUCGAAGAAGGUAAUUAAUUUGCACUAUACAAAUAUCAAUUUACAUAUCAAACUUACAGAUGUGAAACACAAGAUCAUAACAUUAUCUUAUGCACUUAGAGAUGUCAUUUACGGCUUAAGAUUGUUAGAAAUAUUGUGUUAGAAAUCAUAUAUAAUAAAUAUAAUCAAAUAAUCAAAUCAAGUAUGCAUGUCAUAUAAUCAUAAAUAAUAUAAAGAAGGGGAUUGAAGAGUUUCUCAUGGAAUCUACAAGGGAGGCACAUGAAGGUUGUCCUUAAGCCGUAGACGCCUCCCCACGUGCGGGUUAUGACGGUCGUCUACAAACUCCAUGAUACAACUUUUGUAGUCGCACAUGAUGUUUAGUCUGUUUUGCAUGACUAACGGUAGACAGAGUGUCAUGUACUUACCAAAUUGCCCAAAACAUAAGAAAUAAGAAUAGAAUGAGGAAGAUAAAGAGUAAGAGUAUAAGAGCAAUAUAGAAUACUUUUUCUCUUUUUAAGAGCUAAGCAUUUAUAGAAUUAUGAGUUUUGAAUCUUAUUUUGAAUAAAAAACCAGCAGCAGGAUGGUUCCAAAGCGCACGUCCGUGAUUUUACAAAAGUGCACAUGAAACAUUAUCAACUGUUUAUUAGUUUAAAUGAAAAACAACGGCUUAGAUGAAGUCUCUUAAAACCCAUAACUGGUCAAAUAGUUAGGAACGUGAACUCAACUUGAUCUUUAGUCUCCUUCUCUCUCUCAACGAUCUUGUCUCAUACUUCACCACUCAAAAUCUUUGUCUUCUGAUUCAUGUAUUCUGAUCCAUUGAUGAUUGAACUCUACUCAGUUGCACAGUUCUUGCAAUCAAAGCUUUCUUUUUC